rnacentral:rRNA from 1 species
GGUGAAAAGCACCCCGGAAGGGGAGUGAAAUAGAACCUGAAACCGUGUGCUUACAAGUAGUCAGAGCCCGUUAAUGGGUGAUGGCGUGCCUUUUGUAGAAUGAACCGGCGAGUUACGAUUUGAUGCAAGGUUAAGCAGUAAAUGUGGAGCCGUAGCGAAAGCGAGUCUGAAUAGGGCGUUUAGUAUUUGGUCGUAGACCCGAAACCAGGUGAUCUACCCUUGGUCAGGUUGAAGUUCAGGUAACACUGAAUGGAGGACCGAACCGACUUACGUUGAAAAGUGAGCGGAUGAACUGAGGGUAGCGGAGAAAUUCCAAUCGAACCUGGAGAUAGCUGGUUCUCUCCGAAAUAGCUUUAGGGCUAGCCUCAAGUGAUGAUUAUUGGAGGUAGAGCACUGUUUGGACGAGGGGCCCCUCUCGGGUUACCGAAUUCAGACAAACUCCGAAUGCCAAUUAAUUUAACUUGGGAGUCAGAACAUGGGUGAUAAGGUCCGUGUUCGAAAGGGAAACAGCCCAGACCACCAGCUAAGGUCCCAAAAUAUAUGUUAAGUGGAAAAGGAUGUGGCGUUGCCCAGACAACUAGGAUGUUGGCUUAGAAGCAGCCAUCAUUUAAAGAGUGCGUAAUAGCUCACUAGUCGAGUGACACUGCGCCGAAAAUGUACCGGGGCUAAACAUAUUACCGAAGCUGUGGAUUGUCCUUUGGACAAUGGUAGGAGAGCGUUCUAAGGGCGUUGAAGCAUGAUCGUAAGGACAUGUGGAGCGCUUAGAAGUGAGAAUGCCGGUGUGAGUAGCGAAAGACGGGUGAGAAUCCCGUCCACCGAUUGACUAAGGUUUCCAGAGGAAGGCUCGUCCGCUCUGGGUUAGUCGGGUCCUAAGCUGAGGCCGACAGGCGUAGGCGAUGGAUAACAGGUUGAUAUUCCUGUACCACCUAUAAUCGUUUUAAUCGAUGGGGGGACGCAGUAGGAUAGGCGAAGCGUGCGAUUGGAUUGCACGUCUAAGCAGUAAGGCUGAGUAUUAGGCAAAUCCGGUACUCAUUAAGGCUGAGCUGUGAUGGGGAGAAGACAUUGUGUCUUCGAGUCGUUGAUUUCACACUGCCGAGAAAAGCCUCUAGAUAGAAAAUAGGUGCCCGUACCGCAAACCGACACAGGUAGUCAAGAUGAGAAUUCUAAGGUGAGCGAGCGAACUCUCGUUAAGGAACUCGGCAAAAUGACCCCGUAACUUCGGGAGAAGGGGUGCUCUUUAGGGUUAACGCCCAGAAGAGCCGCAGUGAAUAGGCCCAAGCGACUGUUUAUCAAAAACACAGGUCUCUGCUAAACCGUAAGGUGAUGUAUAGGGGCUGACGCCUGCCCGGUGCUGGAAGGUUAAGAGGAGUGGUUAGCUUCUGCGAAGCUACGAAUCGAAGCCCCAGUAAACGGCGGCCGUAACUAUAACGGUCCUAAGGUAGCGAAAUUCCUUGUCGGGUAAGUUCCGACCCGCACGAAAGGCGUAACGAUUUGGGCACUGUCUCAACGAGAGACUCGGUGAAAUCAUAGUACCUGUGAAGAUGCAGGUUACCCGCGACAGGACGGAAAGACCCCGUGGAGCUUUACUGUAGCCUGAUAUUGAAAUUCGGCACAGCUUGUACAGGAUAGGUAGGAGCCUU